AAGAAGAGUUUUUUUUAGGAUGAUGAAAAGUGACAGGGGAGAAGAAGUAGUAGAAGACAGAUUGGUGCAGAAGAUUUUGAUAUAUAUAUUAGUUGUUGACGCGCGCUCAGUUUAAUAUUUUAUUUAUUAUUUUAUUAUUUUUUUAUAAUUUUUUUAAUUAGAUAUUUUCUGAUUUUUUUUGUUUUUCUUUUCUGUUUUUGUUACAAUUUCAAGCGUUUAACAAUAAUCAUGUAAAUUCUUAACAAAAAAAAAGAAGACAAUAAUCACGUAAAUCACUUUAUACAGUUAUUGAAAAUUCUUAAAGAUGAAUGUUUAAAAC
rnacentral:lncRNA from 1 species